rnacentral:rRNA from 1 species
GAUGAACGCUAGCGGCAGGCUUAAUACAUGCAAGUCGAGGGGCAGCAGUCCCGCAGCAAUGCGGGAGCUGGCGACCGGCAAACGGGUGCGGAACACGUACAGAACCUUCCUUCGAGCGGGGAAUAGCCCAGAGAAAUUUGGAUUAAUACCCCAUAGCAUUACGAAGUGGCAUCACUUUGUAAUUAAAGAUUUAUCACUCGAAGAUGGCUGUGCGGCNGAUUAGGUAGUUGGCGGAGUAACGGCCCACCAAGCCUUCGAUCAGUAACUGGUGUGAGAGCACGACCAGUCACACGGGCACUGAGACACGGGCCCGACUCCUACGGGAGGCAGCAGUAAGGAAUAUUGGUCAAUGGACGAAAGUCUGAACCAGCCAUGCCGCGUGGAAGAUGAAGGUCCUCUGGAUU